UCGUAACAAGGUAACAGGUCUUCGGACGCUGACGAGUGGCGAACGGGUGAGUAAUACAUCGGAACGUGCCCAGUCGUGGGGGAUAACUACUCGAAAGAGUAGCUAAUACCGCAUACGAUCUGAGGAUGAAAGCGGGGGACCUUCGGGCCUCGCGCGAUUGGAGCGGCCGAUGGCAGAUUAGGUAGUUGGUGGGAUAAAAGCUUACCAAGCCGACGAUCUGUAGCUGGUCUGAGAGGACGACCAGCCACACUGGGACUGAGACACGGCCCAGACUCCUACGGGAGGCAGCAGUGGGGAAUUUUGGACAAUGGGCGAAAGCCUGAUCCAGCAAUGCCGCGUGCAGGAUGAAGGCCUUCGGGUUGUAAACUGCUUUUGUACGGAACGAAAAAGCUUCUCCUAAUACGAGAGGCCCAUGACGGUACCGUAAGAAUAAGCACCGGCUAACUACGUGCCAGCAGCCGCGUAAUACA
rnacentral:rRNA from 1 species